rnacentral:tRNA from 1 species
GAGGAUGUAGCUCAAGUGGUAGAGUCUGUACUUAGCAUGCACGAGGUCCUGGGUUCAAUCCCCAGUAGCUCCU